GUUUUUUUUGGGGGGGCGGCUGUUGAGGUUUUUUUUCCUAAACAGAAUCCUUUAAGCCAGUUUAAAAAGUUUGUUCUUGCAGACAGAAAUUCUUCUUUCCUUUAGUCUAGAUUAGGCAUUUGGAUGGGAAAUGGAAUGUGGAGGUCCUGGCCCAACUUUCUGUGCAACCACAUGUGAAUCACUUCAUGCUGUGGCCCCUUGUUGCUGUACCAAACUUUACCCUCCUUUGCUUGAUUUAAAGCCUGUGGGAAGCAGUUGUCAUCUUUUGUCUUUUUUAGGGACAUCAGCAUGUAUGAUGCAAGGCUGGGGAUUCUGGACAUCACCACAGUAAUCAUUAUAAAGGUCUGAGAGCCUUUUGGUCAAUUCCAAAACUCCCAUCUCUUUCCACAAUGUUAGAAACAGAUCCUCGUUGAGCUGCUUUUAGCUUUUAUGAUCUUUGAUAAAGCUUUUAGCACUUAUCAUCUCUGUCUCCAUGGAUGCCCCUUCUUGGUGUCCUGUUGCUUUCCAUACAUUGAGUUCUACUGUUGUCACAAAUGAUCUGGAAACAGCUAUAUAAUUACAAAGUGUAACACAGAUAGCUGCAUGGCACAGAAAGGAGUGUUCAAGCCUGGAAAUAAAGGAGUUAAAAUAAAAUUAAUUUCUCUUACCCACUUUCCAAAGAUGCCAGCCUUUCUAUAUAAACUCCUCUGUCAUUAAUCUAAUAGAGCUCUACUUCGUUCAUAAUUUACUACACUCUUGAAUAAGCCAUUCUAAUAUUUGUGCAGGGCAAGAACAUAAAUCAUUGUUGCCCUUCUCUACUUUUUUUUACUUAUCUGGUUCUCUCAAGGUCAAUAACCUACCUUACAACUUUCAUCUGGUUUAACUAUUCAGCUCUUGCCUUUUACACCUCUCUUCUUUGUUCACGUCCAUUUGGGUAUCUGCAGCUGUAUCUUCUCCAGUAGCUAUUGAUCAUGUCUCCUUGCUAAAGGUUGCUAACUUCAUCAGCAGUAAUGGUACAAAUUACAUCUGUUAGGGUUCACUCAUGCCUCUCUUUUAGCAGGAGAGACUGCCUUCUGACUUUGUUGUUAUUGGCCAUCUUUUCUGCCUAGGAUAUCUAAAACUCAAUGAGAAAAAUUUUAUGCUGGGAAAUAUCCUCAUUCUGACACAUGUAGGCUUUCAGUGCCCAGGUCAUGCAGAGAAGCUAAUCAAUCCCCACUGACCUCCAGGAGCCUGGAAUAUAGCUGGGUAAGGCCCCAAUCCAGCAAUGCACUUAAGGAUAUGCUUAUGUAAACAUAGGAUCCAUCCCAUUUUCAGUGCAAUUUGGUGAGAAGUGCAUUUCAGAGCAGAGCAUCUCCAGGGAUGCUCCUUUUUGCAGGGGCUGUGCAGGAUGAGGCUGUACCAGUUGCCAACACGAGCACACCCCAAGAAGGGGCUAAGGAGCAUCCUGGCAGCACAACACAGAGAAACCUCCCAGGGUUCAGCUGAUGGGAGGAUGUGACAGCAACGGGCUCACUCUGAAAGGAAUGCACCUUCCCAGGCGUGAACAGGGAUCAGAUGAGAUGUGGCAAAGACUGCUGGGGACAAUGGUUUUGCCACCCUGGUGUCCUGUGACCUUUGGAGGAUGAGUGAUCCAUCUCCCUGUGGGAGAUUUGGUGUUUUGCCACUGGUCAACAAAAUGCUGUCCUCAAUGCACCUGUCAAGAUCCACUCUGGAACAGAAGAUCAGAGCAAACGGGGGCUGAGGAGAACAAAAGCUGCCCCAAACCUUUGACCUAAAUUUAACAUAAAGCCAAAUGAAACCUUAGAGAUUUUCUGCUUCUGAGCUCCUCUGAAAUCCUCCCCAGUGUCAAGGCUGGACCGAAUGGUGUGUGCCAGCAGUGCAUGUCCCUGUCCCAGUGCCUGACUGCAGUGAUGGCACCUUGUUCAGACACCCCUGAAAUGCCUUCAGAGUUCCUGCUGUGUGCCUUUGUCUUUGGAGGUUUGGAUAGUUCGGUCCAUGCACUGACCAGUAUUCAACUGCUGAAAGAAAAUAAGGACUGUGACAAAAGGGUCUGGCUGAGCUCCAUGGACCAUCCAGAGUAGGGACAGCAGUGGUGGAGUGAAUCCACUGGACAGAGAAAUCAGACAGAAGAAAUGAUCCUAUUUGCUUAUUUCAGCCCAAGUUAGAAGGGAAAAGUUCUAUGUGUUGGCCUAGUGACAAAUCUAUUUUGACUGUCAAAACUUAGAAAACUUUUAUUUUUCUCACAACUUCUCUGGGAUCCAGUGGUGUGGGUUUUGUAAAUCCUUCAUCUAUCUGUUUCUAGAAACAUACAGAGCAUGAAUUACUGGAAAUGAAGCAAAAUCUACCAGACAUAAACUCAGCCCAUCCUCUAUAGCUCAUAUUCUCUGAAGACUCAUUUGUCCUUUUCCUCUUUUCAGGUAUUUCCUCUCUUCUCUCUGGUCUGUUCUUGUUAUUUGUUUCAUCAGCCAUUUGUUAUACAACUCUUGGCAAAAUAUCAGGGAAAUCUUCCUGACUGUGAACAGGGAAGUGCUUUCUUAAGGGAACAACAACAGUUUCUUUACUUGGGCGAGCAGAAAACAAGUCAAGCCCAAGUAUUGUCUUUGCUGAGACAAAUUUCAUGAGGACAGUGAUGUGCUUUGUUGGACUCAGUGGUGCAGCUGAUCAAGCUUGUCCUCUUGGGAUUUUCUUUGGAUUUUUAAAGGGUUUAAGGUGUUAUUUCUCCAUGUGAAACUUGCCUCACUGCUGUGCCAGGGGCCAAGUAGGCAGUGAGGGAGGGAUGGACUCAGCUUGUGUCUGGUGGGAGCUGAGCUCCCUGUGUGUGGCUCCACGGGGGUGGUGGGUCUUCUCAUCUAGGGGUGGCGAUGCCUUUCUGGCCACAGGCACCCCAGCAGUCAUUAAAACAAGCAAACUGCAUGCUUUCAUCUCUCCUGGGUCCACAGCUUCCUCCUCUCAGAUGAGAUGGCCUUAGACCCAGUCUGAGCCUCAAUAAACUUUUCACUUUUGCAGUUUCACCCAAGGCUUGACUUUGCACUGGGAUUAUCCUGAGAUUCGUCUGCUUCAGGUCAGCUGGGUUCCUCUCUGUCUCCUCUCCAGCUAAAAGAUUAUAGCAGAGCUGCACAAGCAUGUCCUAAACUCAGAGCAAACUGAAGGAAAGGCAGCUCCAGCUGCAGCUCACAGCCUGCCAGAGAGACUCCCCUGGCAGGUCUCCGACGAGCCUGUUACUACAAGUUCACUCCAAGCGGCAAUUCCGGACAAAGCAGAACUUUGCAUGAAGUUCAUAUUAGUUCAUAUUAGCUCACGCUGCCAGCAAUUCAGUAGCUCCUUCUCAGUGCUUGAAUCUCAGUUGAAAGAUUUAUGUGGGCUUGCCAUGCAGCCUCUCUGAGGAAGUCAUGAAGGUGGGCAUGCAUUUAGUUUUCCCAAAUAUCAUGGAGCAAGUGAGUUGUGUAAUAUCUUCUGGAAGGACUGAAGAUUUUAAGUCCUAAUACAGAGCUGUCAUCUCUGCAAGAUGUAAUAGCACCUAGAUUAACUUCCAAAGCAGGAAAGGACACAGUAGAAGUAGUUUUAUGUAGUAAUUUUUAUUUCCAUUCACUGAAUAAGUGAGGUCUUACAUCUAUUGAAUAACCCAAUAUUUAUAAAGCUUUUCUGUUAAAAGAGUUUCUAAUGCUUUGACUGCAUGCAUUAAAACUCAUUUUGUGUGUUUUAAAUGAAUUAUAACCUAUUCAAAAGCACUUCCUCACCCUAAAGCACUCUGUGCCUUAUGUCUCUGUAAUACCUUCAGCUGCUACAGAGAUCUCACAAAGAUGAGGAUGUUCAUGAUAAAUAGAUUUGAGGGGUUUUUUUAACGUUCACUUCAUUUUGUACAUUUUCCAAAAGAUUUAAAAAAAAAUAAAUCCAUGUUAUUCAAAUUUUGGAGAAGGGUUGGUUGAAAAAUCUCUAAUUUAGUUCCUUUUGAGUCACAUUUCAGUGAUGGUUUUUAAUGAAUAUGCACAUAUUAGCCACAUAGCUAACAUUUUCUGUCCUCUUCUGACGUAUUGUAGGUUAACAAGGACAAAUUAUUGUCUCACCCCUUGUGAACACUCUGUGAUCUCUGCUAAGUCUAAUGAGCCAAACCCAGGCCUCAACUGGACCUGGAGUGAGGCAGUGGCUUCUCAGCUCCCAGCAAUUACAGCAGUGCAAAAGGCAGUUCUGUACCCGGUGACCUGCUCUGGUACCUGCUCACACACUGCUGGGGAUGCAUCCUCAGCUCCUGGAGCAAAGCCCACUUCCAUCCUGCUGGAAAGAGCUUUGCAAAGAGGAAGCAAAACCCUGCCCAGUGCUGUGAAGAACAGACAGAGGCUUUUUGGGGGUGUCUGUGGGAAGGGGAGCUUGCUAUCCCCAGGAAUGGGAGGCACGUCCGCAGUGGGAGGCAGCGCUCACAGGGCUCCCCACUCUCACCAUUGAGCAUUGUUCAGAACAAACAUAGAUGCUGCGUAUGGAUGCAAAGCUUGAUCUGUGGUUUUUACACCCACCACAUUUCUUGGAGUUGACAAUUCUAAAACUUUGGGACUUUUCAUCUCCAGGCUGUUGUUUUCUUCGGGGUUUUUUCUUCAUUUCAUAGGAAGCUAGCAUGCAAACAAACCAACCCACGCUUUGGCCUAAGCAGCUGUGUAAUGCUGUCCUCCCCUCAAAAGUGUACAAAUCUGCAGUGGGGACACAAGUUGGGUUGGUAUAACACAGUACAGCUGCACCGUGACAUUGCUUGGGUGGAUGCUGAGAAAUCUAUAGGAAUUCCCUGGGGAAACGUGGAGUUGGGGGGAAAAAAAAGCCUGCUUUACCCACUGUUCCACUUUGCUGGAAAAUCCACUGCCCAACAGUGAGAAUAGAGUGAUUUAUUUUUCAGAAAUGCCUUGGGCCAGCUGUGACUGAAUGGUUGUUUCUUGCUCCUUAUAGUUCCCAAAAUGUUCAGGGCAUUUUCCAGGUGGAAGUUAGAGCUAAAGAGACACAGAAGAAAGAAGGAGAAGAUUCAACUCAGCAGUUGUUUAGUAUGAAUGGAAUCUCAUUCAUUCUAAAAUUCCAGCCCUUUCUGAUGACUUCACAGUUUUAAAGAAAAGAAUAUUUUUGAGCUCUCCUGGGCUUGCUGAAAAGCUCCUUGUUCCUCCUGCUCUGUGGCAGAAGAUGCUGCAUUAGGAUUUGUACAAGGCAUUGACACAAGGUAUGUAAUGCCCAUCUCUGAAAAUAAAACCAAUAUUUUCUCUGAGGAAGGAAAAAGGAUGGGCCAGUUACCCUUUCUCUGGGAAUUUCCAGCUAAAGGGAGUAGUUAUGUACUUCAAUUCAUUGGUGAGUGGGAAGCAAUGUGGAUUUUUGGAUCCUCUUGUUGGGCAUGGAGCGAGAUGUGAAGAUGGCAUGGCUGCUGUCACCUUGUGCUCUGCCAUCAUCAGGCGUGUGGCUUUGGCAGGCAUCGUGAAUCAAAACCCUGAGGGGUCUUUUCAAACCCUAAUGCACCCUGACCUACCACAGUCCUCUCAAAGCUGUCCCUUCCUCCUUUACCAGCCAGAAUGGUGGAUUUGAGUACACAAAGAAAUGAAAUCAGACAGAACUGGCUGGAAAAUAACCUGUAGCCCCAGGUGGGUGUUGAUGGACAUUCUCCAUUGGCUGAAAGUUUCCUAUCUUGUUUCAAGGACACUUUUAUUUUUAAAUCUCUUUUCCAUUGGACACGUACAUGUGAAGUCAGGUAGCAGAUACAGAGGCUGGCUCAAGAAUAGCCACAAGCUGCCUGAUUUCUAUUGUAUACCAUAAUUACAGUAGCAUACACUUUGGACUGACAGCAAUUCUCAGCAACAGAGUACUUUAGAAAUAUUAAUCUCACAUCAGCUAUUUGUGUUGAAUAUUGGCUUAUUCAGCAGGUGAUGUGAGCCAAUAUUAUCAUACUUUAUUAUAGACAGCAAAACAGAGAGAAAGAAAGAUUUAGUGACUCACCUAAGGUCAAGCAGUAUGUCCAAGAGAAAACCUAGUUAGGCUUGGGGAUUACUGCCUCCCAGUGAUCAAGAAAUAUCUGCAAUAUUUCUGAGAAGCUAGCAUAUAUACAUCUACAAUAAAUUAGAAAUUCUACUGCCUUAGGUUAGUCCUUCACUAGUAUGAGGGACAUUUUCAUUGCAUGGUAUUGGAAAAGCCAACAGACUUGGUGCUUUAGACAGCAACAGCCAGAUCCUCCAAAAUGUCACCGUGUUCCUCCAUGUGCAAGUCCCACAAACUGCAGUUUCUUAAAGGAGAGCUGAAUCUUCAGCUGGUGAUUAAUAUAACCUGUGAUUAGCUUGUGAUUUGGCAAAAAUGGCCAAAGGUUUGACUCAUUUAAUCUUGUCUUCUCACUAUUCAGCAUUUCCCAUUCCGUGAGCUGAGAGGGACUCGUGCAGAUGGGACUGUUCCCCAGCUAGGGGGAUGGGCUACAUGAUGAGCAACAGGAGUUCUGUGCCCAGGCAACUCGUACAACAUCAAUCUCAAAGUAACAGCAUCUCUUAAAUUGAACACUGAUGUUGUAGGGAUUUUAGGAAACUAAUUAUCCCAUGAGCAGUUGAGUAAACUUCAGAAGAAAAAGGUUUACAUUGAGAAAUUGGCUAAUAAUAGGGAUAAGAUAAUUAUACAUAGGGAGGAAAAAAAGCCAAACCUUUUGUUCCUGGACUUUCUUCUCUUACAUCACAUUAUGGAUGCCAUUCAAGGAAACAAGCUCUGCAGAAUAAUUCUAAGUAUUAACUAAUCAUGUUCCAACAAAAAUGAGCAGGGUCUCAGAUUUUACUUGGCUUGGAUGUCUAAAGGCGAAUUAUAAGUUACGUAAUAAAACAACAGAAUCAUUCAACAUUGAUUUACUUGUUUGUUUUGCUAUAAGAAAUGAAAUUUUUAUUGGAACGAAAUUAAACAAAGGUUUAUGUGCUUGU